UACGGGGGGGGCAAGCGUUGUUCGGAAUUACUGGGCGUAAAGGGCUCGUAGGUGGCCAACUAAGUCAGACGUGAAAUCCCUCGGCUUAACCGGGGAACUGCGUCUGAUACUGGAUGGCUUGAGUUCGGGAGAGGGAUGCGGAAUUCCAGGUGUAGCGGUGAAAUGCGUAGAUAUCUGGAGGAACACCGGUGGCGAAGGCGGCUUUCUGGACGACAACUGACGCUGAGACGCGAAAGCGUGGGGAGCAAACAGG
rnacentral:rRNA from 1 species